rnacentral:rRNA from 1 species
UACGUAGGGCGCAAGCGUUGUCCGGAAUUAUUGGGCGUAAAGAGCUCGUAGGCGGUUUGUCGCGUCUGCUGUGAAAACUCGAGGCUCAACCUCGGGCUUGCAGUGGGUACGGGCAGACUAGAGUGCGGUAGGGGUGACUGGAAUUCCUGGUGUAGCGGUGGAAUGCGCAGAUAUCAGGAGGAACACCGAUGGCGAAGGCGGUCUGCUGGGGUAAUGCUGACACUGAUGCGCGACAGCGUGGGGAGCAAACAGG